rnacentral:rRNA from 1 species
GAUAUAGUGUGUACGGCGGCCGAGGUAAUGCGUGGUGGGCUGUCGUUGGCCCGAAGUAUGGAGCGUAGAGAUCGUGUGUGCUGCCCGUGAAUUCCGUCGGGAAAUUCGCGUGCUCAACCCUCGAAAGCCGGUGGAUACUGUCGGGCUAGAGUUCGGAAGAUGCGAGUGGAAUACCUUGGGUAGCGGUGAAAUGCGCAGAUAUCUGGAGGAACACCGAUUGCGAAGGCAGCUCGCUGGGACGUAACUGACGCUGAGACGCGAAAGCGUGGGGAGCAAACAGGAUUAGAUACCCGGGUAGUC